rnacentral:RNase_P_RNA from 1 species
GGAGUCGGCCAGACAGUCGCCGCCGGAGAGAUCCGGGGGAGGAAAGUCCGGGCUCCACAGGGCAGAGUGCCAGGUAACGCCUGGGCGGCGUGAGCCGACGGAAAGUGCAGCAGAGAGUAAACCGCCUACGUCUCCCUAGGGAGGCCGGUAAGGGUGAAAGGGUGCGGUAAGAGCGCACCGCGCGCCUGGUAACAGUGCGUGGCAAGGUAAACCCCACUCGGAGCAAGACCAAAUAGGAACCCCUUGGCGUGGCCCGCGCUGGGUUCGGGUAGGUUGCUCGAGGGUCGUGGUGACGCGAUCCCUAGAUGAAUGACUGUUCUCGACAGAACCCGGCUUAUCGGCCGGCUCCCCCC